UAGCUCAGCUGGAUAGAGCAUUUGAUUGCGGUUCAAAAGGUCAGAGGUUCGAAUCCUCU
rnacentral:tRNA from 1 species